rnacentral:rRNA from 1 species
CUUGACAAACCUAUAAGAGGUCCAGCCUGCCCAGUGACUCUGUUCAACGGCCGCGGUAUCCUAACCGUGCGAAGGUAGCGUAAUCACUUGUUCUUUAAAUGAGGACUAGUAUGAAUGGCACCACGAAGGUUAUACUGUCUCCUUUUUCUAAUCAGUGAAACUAAUCUUCCCGUGAAGAAACGGGAAUAAAAAUAUAAGACGAGAAGACCCUAUGGAGCUUUAAACAAAUAUACACCUGCCCCCUUACCAAAAAUUUCAGAAGACAAGUAAUUACCCGGGCAUUUUGGUAUAGCGUUUUAGGUUGGGGUGACCGCGGAGCAAAAAAUAACCUCCGCAGCGAACGGGAGUAUUCCCUAAACCAAGGGCCACAACCCUAAGUAUUAAUAAAUUAACACUAAUUGACCCAAUAAAUUUGAUCAAUGAAC